rnacentral:lncRNA from 1 species
AUCAUCAAAAAUAAAAGUCAGGUGCAGAACCAAAUCUUGUUCUUACAAUUGUCACAAAAAUACGUCUUCUAUUUGAACCAUUAUCGAACCUUCUGAUAACCACAAUGAAUCAUAAUUUGGAGGCCUCCAUAUGAAUCCAUUGAAGCAUUUGAUCACGAUAGUCAAACUCUUAUUCAUUUUUAAAAUGACUACCAACAUUUACCGCCUUCA